GCUUAACACAUGCAAGUCGAACGCAAGUAGAAAUACUUGAGUGGCGGACGGGUGAGUAACGCGUGAGAAUCUGCCUUUUGGUCGGGGACAACCACUGGAAACGGUGGCUAAUACCGGAUAAGCCCAUGGGUAAAAGAUUAAUUGCCAAAAGAGGAGCUCGCGUCUGAUUAGCUAGUAGGUGUGGUAAAGGCCCACCUACGCGACGAUCAGUAGCUGGUCUGAGAGGACGAUCAGCCACACUGGGACUGAGACACGGCCCAGACUCCUACGGGAGGCAGCAGUGGGGAAUUUUCCGCAAUGGGCGAAAGCCUGACGGAGCAAUACCGCGUGAGGGAGGAAGGCUCUUGGGUCGUAAACCUCUUUUAUCAGGGAAGAAACAAAUGACGGUACCUGAUGAAUCAGCAUCGGCUAACUCCGUGCCAGCAGCCGCGGUAAUAC
rnacentral:rRNA from 1 species